rnacentral:lncRNA from 12 species
CGACUCCCUUCCGCUCUAUCCAAUGAAACUGCCACAUAGAAGCAUCACAUAGAAUCUCCAGGUCAGAAUGGCUAGGAUUAGAAGACAGCGAGGUGUUCUGUAUAC